ensembl:lncRNA
CUGGAUGCAGAUUUUCCGGAUGAAAGGCCUCUUUCCUGGAGUGGACUUCGAUAUUUUCUGUUCACAACUCCGUGUCGCCGCCCUCCACACCUAGGAUCUGGCGUCGGGCGUCACUGCCGACGUCACAAUCCCCGCAACUACUUGUCUCAGCCGCAGAAGCUCCACGUAGCUGUCAGACGCUGGGAGGUUGGUGCCCCGCCAUGUUUUUCUGCCUUUUGUCUUUUCACCUUCUCCCUUCCCCACCCAGUGCCCCGUGAGGGGACACUUGGUGCUGUAAAGUGAGCUUGGAGAAUGACAAGAAACAUGCUGUUUGUGAGUUAAGGAUCCAGGAAUGGGAGAGAGACUGGGAAGUUCAACAAGAAACAUGAAAAUCUCUGCCCAUCCUCACCUGGUGACCCUGUGCUUAGCAGCUACAAGAAGAGAAUAUGGGGACUGAUUUCAAGGAAAGCCAAACUCCCUUCAUUCCAACUUCCACCAAAAUCAAUUAUCUGGAUCCCUCCCUGGAGUUGACACAACACGGAUCUUCAGCCCCACGUGCCAGGUUUCUCGGUGAUCCAUUACACAGAUUUAGCAGGGAAAUGGGGGCAGUAUCAAAAACACCCAGUAUAAAUCAUUGAAUUACCCCAGCCCUUGUCUCUGCCCAUGAACAACUCCCUGGGGCCAGAGAAUUAGGCAUCCCUGCUCUUCUUUCCCUCAGAAAGCCCUUGGGACAUUCUCCUUGAAGCUCCCCUAAAUGGGAGUAGAAGUUCAUCUUCUGAUAUUCCACGUUUUAUUCAUGUGAGUCCUGAGUUAUGACACAGAGGACACAGUUGUGCUCCCCUUACUGUGGCCUAGCAGGUAAAGCACCUUAACCUCUCAGCCACCAUGCAAACCCUUCUUAUAUUUGAAUCAAUGUACUUUGCUGCAAGCAAAAUAAAAGUUCUGACCAAAGAGGCAUCCUCUGAUUUGACUCUAGAACUUGGAAAUGCAUUGGCUUUCAGCAAACCUCAGUAUUGAAUGUAAACUUCAAGGAGAAAUGGUCCCAGGAAAUAAAUUGGGAUGACAUUGAGCUUUUAGCAAACUGUGAAAUCCUGAAACCAUGGACCUUAAUGAAGUCAAUUAAAUGGGCUAAUUCAUGGGUGAAAGUGCUACAUCAUAAAACUAAAUAUUCUCCACACGUGAUCCUACACUGAAGCCAGGGUUUAUGUCAAGUACUGUGUGAGGAUGAGGAGACACCAAGCCUGUGGCAAUCUGCUUGGCAGGCAGUCUGGUCCAGGCAGGGCCCACAUUAUUGUUCACAGUUUAACCUAUUUAAUUAAAUACAUAAUUUUCCCCCAAAUCGUAUAUGACAUAAGCUGUAGUCCUGAGCCACAUUAAGAUGUAUUAUUUAUGCGGUAAAAUUGUAUGGGAUUUGACAAAUGCAUAGCGGCAGGUUUCCAGCAUUAAACUAUCACAGCACCCUUCUAUUAUUCAAGCUCCUCUUCCAUCCACAUACAGGGAAUCAAUCGCCUUUUGUAUAUGGUCCUUUGACGUUGCUUCUUUAUUUCAAUUAUCUUCCAUCAAAGCAAAUGAUACCGUGCUCUAUUUUCAUUUGAUCUUCCAAAAGAAACACACUGAAUAAUCUAAACCAGAAUUUCAGCCAUUCGGAGACUUAGGCCCACCGCUAAGCAGUAAAGGCCAAGCCACCUAGGCUGCAACACCACCACCGGCAGAGGGCUCGGGAACAAGCCUUCCGCCCUGCGGGGCGCAUGCGCUUUCUGCCUGCGGAGAGGGGGCUGGGUCUCCAGGAAGUACCUCAGCUUCCUUUCCUCUGGUCAGGGAGGAGGCGCCGCCCUGGCUUUGGGGCAACUUAGGCAAUGCCCAUUGUGAGGAAAACUUCCUGUCCGCAGUCCUAACUGCUGAGAAGGGAGAUUCCCUGCACAGUCUCCUGGAUAUUUUUCUGAAACAGCAAUAAAGACUUCAUUUUCUGGGCUGUUGCCACACGUUUUAUUCUGUACUUUGUUGGGAUAUUUUAACAUAAUUUUACAAAUGUAUAAAUUUGGAGUUGGGGAGGGCUUUCUGAUAGAUAAUAGAAGCAGGCUGUAACAUGUCCUCCGUGUGACCUCAUUCAGGAUUGAUUGUGAGAAGAAACAAGAAUUUUGAGGAAAAUCUACAGAAUACAGGGACCCUGCAGAGGAAGGAGUCAGGCCAGGUCAGGGCCACACAGGGACACACAUGGUGUGUCCAGAAUUGGUGGGUUCUUGGUCUCGCUGACUUCAAGAAUGAAGCCGCGGACCCUC